AUCAGUAUGUUCUGAGAGAGGCAAGACUGACACCCAAACAGUAAAUGAACAGUAUCAGAUGCCACCAUAUGGAAAUAAGACCUGAACUGUGUGGUGAUUUAGACUGCAAUAUUCAGCUGAAGUCAGAAAAGGUAUUGUGACACUGGACACAGCACUUUUCCAUUCAGCCAAAUCACAAAACUCAUAUUUUCUUUUCACACAUGCGAUGUCAUUCAUGCCUUAUGGUCUCCGUAUAACGACAUGAUUAAUACAGACAGAGUGGUCCACAGAAAAAUCAGAUCCAUGGCAUUACACAGCAGCCUGCCUUCAAUAGACUUCCCUCACGAAGAGGCUAUCACUCUGUACUGUUAGGAGGCCAUGAAGCAAUAACAAAGUUGAAUAUGUUUUUUAGAUGUUUUCACAGGGGUCGUGACUUACUGUCCCAGAGAGCAGGUUUCUUGCAGAGGAAAAGCUGAGCCCUCAGUUGAUUCCUUUACUGAGGUAGAAGUGUGGAUUGGCUCAGGGAAUAAAGCACCCUAAGGGCUAUCAGAUUCCAAGCUCCAAAUCUGGCUCUUACCUUAGGCUAGUCACUUAACCUGCAGACAGAGCAAAAAACUAAGGGUAAAGAACUCACAGGUAAAUAACAACAUUCAAAACAUAUUAUUCUAUGGUACAAAAAUACUAAACAGACACUGCAUUUGGGUGAAAGCUAUCUUUCAAGAGAACAGACCUACUCAAAUGUAUCUACUUAAAGGAAUAUUCCGGGUUCAGAAUUGAGUGUGUUUUAAAUUAGGACACAUAUUUUUACUAAUGAAGCACGAACUGAAAAAAACAGCAUUGGGAAGAGAAAAAUCAGAUGUGUAGCAUGCACGAAGACUGCUUUGCUGCCUCUGUGGGGGAAAUAAAGUUAUGAGCAUCAUGAUAAAAUUAAGUUAAUUCAUUCCUAUCACAUCUAAUAGGACUACUUAAAGAUAAAUCAUAAAGUGUCAAAAAAAGUGUCAGCAAAUAAUGAUUCUUACUUCAAUGGUAAAUAAAUACCUGUCACAAUGAUAUUAAAUUGCUUAAGACUAGACUCUGAGAGCAUGAUAAAUUGUUACAGAUCUUAAACUUUGAGCAAGAGCAUAUUUCAAAGAAAUACCUUCUUUUAGGAGGAGAUAUAAAAGAAUCAGUUAUAUUAACUGAGACUUCCUUAAAAAUGAAUUUAGCAAAUGCUGUUUAUUGUUCUCUGAAUAUCUGAUUAGCAUGGACAGUUAAUAGUCAAAAUUCAAAAUUCAUCAACAGUUUUUUAUGACAACAGCUAUCUUAACAGCAGAUCUUCUAAUAUUAUAUCUUUGAUGGCUUUUAUGAAAAUCCCCAGUUACUGAAAAAGAUAUACUAUUUUUCAUGCGAUUAAUUUAACAAAAGUCUGUCUCAACAUUUUUGAAACAUUAAAAGCUUUCUCACAAAGAAAUCAGGAUAAAGCUGUUGCAAAAACGAUAAAAAUAUCUAUAAGAUCACUUAACCUAUUAAACAACUACGUAAUUGCAUAAUUUCUUAGUAUAAUAAACAUAAUUAUAUGUUCUUGAUGCCAUUAAUUGUGUCAGCCCCAUUAAUUAACACUAAAUACUAUAGGGAAAACAAUCUAUUUAUAUUAAAAUUUAUAAAAGAACAAAAAUCUUAUUUUAAAUCCCCAAUAAACACCACACAUCCUCAGUCACAGAAUUCCAAUGGUCUUAAUUGACCUAGUUUUAGUUAAAAGUAAAAACUACACUUAGGUUCAACCACAGAAAAGAAGAGGCCGCUUUUCUAGAUUAAUUAUUAUGCUUCAGUUAUCUGGGAGCUGUUAGUUCAGCUCUCAUAAUUCUAGGAAAGAGUCCUAACACCGUGUCACAGAAACCUUAAAUUAUAUUCUAGUCCACGCUUAGAACUGUCUUACUGUCCCUUCCAUACUUUUAAAAGCUGCAUUCAACACUUGUCUGUGUGGUCUUUUGCUAAGGAUCCAGGAGGCCCACAGGUCUGAACAAACACAUUGUGGUCUUCCAACUGGUACCUGGUUUCUGCUCCUGGAUUUACCAAGUGACUCCUCCUGUGACUCUGGAAGCCUUGAAAAACUUGGCAUCAUUCCUUCCUCUGUAGAUUAACAAUAACUUUACCCAUCUUCUUUCCCACAACUAUGGAAAGGCUCUGAAAAAAAACAGAAAUCAUAACUUUGUACCUAAUUUGUGAUUCCUCGUGGAAGGAGGUAAAGUUCUCUGGGAAAAUUAGAGAUUGCACGGUCUUUCAAAUACUAAUAAUCAUAAUCUCAACAAUCUCUUUGCUAUAUUAAAAAACUUACAGGAAUUUAGAAUGCCUCAAACUGGAAACAAAUGUCCAUCAACAGGAAUGUAGAUUCAUACAAUGGAAUAUUCAAGCAUAAAAAGUAUGAACUACUAAUACAUAAAACAACAUGGACAAAUCUCAAAAACAUCAUGUUGAAUGAAAGAAGCCAGACUCAUAACAGUACUCAUUAUAUAAUUCCAUUCCUACGAAAGCCAAAUACAGAUCUUCAGGAAAAGUUCUCUACAUAUAACCAAUUUAUCUAUGUUAGUGGUACAUUGAGGAGGUGUCCAGAGACAAAGAGACAAGACAGCAAAUGAAUGGACAAGAUGCUGUGAGGGAGUAGGAUUCAGAAGAAUGUCCCAGAGCACAACACAGCCUGGAAUUCACAGAAAUACUGGGGAAAAGGCACAGUGGACUUCCCACUUUCCGUGGAUGGGGUCUCGACCCAUUUUAAGAGGCUAUUAAAGGAAAAAUUGACUGCAGGAGGCAGGUCAACUUGGAAACAUGGGAUAUAUUUUUUUAAAUUUUAGGCAUGGAGAUAUGGAAGGAUGCAUAGAGGCCUGGUAUAUAACUAAGAGCAGGGACUCUGGAGUCCGAGGGUCUGUGUUGGAAUCCCAACUUUGCCACUUAUAACCAUGUACUUUUGCGCAAGUUAUUAAAGCCUCUGAGACUCCAUUUCCUUCUCUGUAAAUAGGGAAAUAAUAAUACCUCAUAGGGUUGUCAAGAGGAGUAAAUGAAGCACAAUUGUAAAGUGGAUGGACAGGAGCUUAGUGUAUACAAAUUGCUGUACAAUAGCUUGUUAAAUAAUAUAAAUAAAUAUGCAUCAAAAUGUUAAGUGUUUUUUGAUGAAUAUAA
rnacentral:lncRNA from 10 species